GAAAUGCGAUAAGUAAUGUGAAUUGCAGAAUUCAGUGAAUCAUCGAAUCUUUGAACGCACGUUGCGCCCGCCAGUAUUCUGGCGGGCAUGCCUGUUCGAGCGUCAUUUCAACCCUCAAGCUCAGCUUGGUGUUGGGGAUCGGCAGGGCGUCCUCCGGGUCGCGCCGUCCCCCAAAUAUAGUGGCGGUCUCGCUGUAGCUUCCUCUGCGUAGUAAUACACCUCGCACUGGAGUCUCGGCGCGGCCACGCCGUUAAACCCCCAACUUUUUCUGGUUGACCUCGAAUCAGGUAGGACUACCCGCUGAACUUAAGC
rnacentral:misc_RNA from 1 species